rnacentral:rRNA from 1 species
CCUACGGGAGGCAGCAGUGGGGGAUAUUGCACAAUGGGGGGAACCCUGAUGCAGCGACGCCGCGUGGGUGAAGGAGUGCUUCGGCAUUUAAAGCCCUAUCGGCAGGGAAGCAGCAAUACGGUACCUUACUAAGAAACCCCGGCUAAAUACGUGCCAGCACCCGCGGUAAUACGUAGGGGGCGAGCGUUAUCCGGAUUCACUGGGUGUAAAGGGAGCGUAUACGGCCAUGCAAGCCCGGGGGGAAAGCCCGGGGCCGAAACCCGGGACUGCCCUUGGAACUGCAUGGCUGGAGUGCGGGAGGAGCAGGCGGAAUUCCUGGUGUAGCGGUGAAAUGCGUAGAUAUCAGGAGGAACACCGGCGGUGAAGGCGGCAUGCUGGAGCGCGACUGACGUUGAGGCUCGAAAGCGUGGGGAGCGAACAGGAUUAGAUACCCGAGUAGUC